rnacentral:misc_RNA from 1 species
UCGGUGUUUACAUGUUCGAGCCCGUCCCUUCAUAGAAAGCUCUUCGGAUCAGAAAGUGUCAUAGAACAGUGUGCUGCCUUCUCUCCACAGUUUGUGGUAGGAUACGCAACACGCUGAACAAGGAUGCUAGUAGGGGAUGGAGAGCGUAGCCCCGAGUCCCUUCAGAGAAAGCUCUUCGGAUCAGAAAGUGUCGUAGAAUGGUGCGUUGCCUUCUCUCCAUAGUCUGUGGUAGGAGACACAACACGCUGAACCGAUGCUCGUAUGGGAAGGAGAGCGUAGCCCCGAGUCCCUUCAGAGAAAGCUCUCUGAAUCAGCAAGUGUUGUAGAACGGGGUGUUGCCUUCUCUCCACAGUCUGUGGUAGGACACGCAACAUGCUGGACCGAUGCUAGUAGGGGCAGGAGAGCGUAGCCUCGAGUCCCUUUAGAGAAAGGUCUCCGGAUCAGAAAGUGUCGUAGAACAGGGUGUUGCCUUCUCUCCAUAGUCUGUGAUAGGAUACGCAACACGCUAGACCGAUGCUAGUAGGGGAAGGAGAGCGUAGCCCCGAGUCCCUUCAAAGAAAGCUCUCCAGAUCAGAAAGUGUCGUAGAACGGGUUGUUUCCUUCUUUCCACAGUCUAUGGUAGGAUACGCAACACAGUGGACAAUGCUAGUAGGGGCAGGAGAGCGUAUCCCCGAGUCCCUUUAGAGAAAGCUCUCCGGAUCAGAAAGUGUCGUAGAACAGGGUGUUGCCUUCUCCCCACAGUCUGUGGUAGGAUACGCAACAUGCUGGACCGCGAUGCUAGUAGGGGAAGGAGAGCGUAGCCCCAAGUCCCUUCAGAGAAAUCUCUUCCGAUCAGAAAGUGUCAUAGAACGGUGUGCUGCCUUCUCUCCAUAGUCUGUGGUAGGAUACACAACACGCUGGACCGUGAUGCUAGUAGGGGAAGGAGAGCGUAGCCCCUGUGAUGGUAAUUGUUGCCAAUGUAACACCCGCGCGCUGUGGACACUCAGGACGCCUUCGUGCAAGCGAUUCUCCCAUGGUAUGCGUGGGAGGAGGCUUGGUAGGCUAGACUGAUGUGGCUACACGAGCGCAUGAGUAGCUUUGGACCCAUGUCUGUUAGUAAAUCCCCCGUCCUCGUGCGGCCGCUACCAACGCCGUGUCUCAUCAUUCGUGUGGCUUAUGUUAUUGUUGCCUUUCAAGUGCUUGCGUGCAUGUACCCGACCUACGGGAAGUGGUGCUUCGUACAUGUUUGCCUCACGGCGGACACCUUCGGGUGUACCGCUGUGACCUAAUGGCGCUUGCGGCGUUUCCUCAUGGUGCUGGCAUGUUUUGUGCUCGGUGCUAUCAAGGAAGCCUCGCUAUCGCUGUUGGUUUUGGAUGCUGCUCACGAUAAAGGCUCAUGGCCCUUUUGGUGCCUAGAACCGACACAGAAGCUAUCUGGAUUAGAGCGUGUCGUAGAACGUGUCGUAGAACGGGUUGUUGCCUCUACCUCUCCACAGUUAGUGGUAGGAUACGCAACAGGCUGGACCGAUGCUAGUAGGAGAAGGAAAUCUUAGCCCGCUCAAUUUUGACAACCGGCUCGGCCGUUGUCUGCAUGCAAGGGCGGAUUGCUACCGAUGUUGGAAGUCAAAGAGGACGUGCU